rnacentral:rRNA from 1 species
UACGAAGGGGGCUAGCGUUGUUCGGAAUUACUGGGCGUAAAGCGCACGUAGGCGGAUUGUUAAGUCAGAGGUGAAAUCCCGGAGCUCAACUUCGGAACUGCCUUUGAUACUGGCAAUCUAGAGUCCGGAAGAGGUUAGUGGAAUUCCCAGUGCAGAGGUGAAAUUCGUAGAUAUUGGGAAGAACACCAGUGGCGAAGGCGGCUAACUGGUCCGGUUCUGACGCUGAGGCGCGAAAGCGUGGGGAGCAAACAGG